UGUUUGAGGCGUAGUGGUUCGAGCUCCUCUCUUCCACCAAGGAGAACUAGGUUCAAUCCCUGGUUCUGACAC
rnacentral:tRNA from 1 species